UACGGAGGGUGCAAGCGUUAUCCGGAUUUACUGGGUUUAAAGGGUGCGUAGGUGGGUCUGUAAGUCAGUGGUGAGAUCUCCGAGCUUAACUCGGUAACUGCCAUUGAUACUAUAGGUUUUGAAUUAUCUGGAGGUAAGCGGAAUAUGUCAUGUAGCGGUGAAAUGCUUAGAUAUGACAUAGAACACCGAUUGCGAAGGCAGCUUACUACGGAUGUAUUGACACUGAGGCACGAAAGCGUGGGGAGCAAACAGG
rnacentral:rRNA from 1 species